rnacentral:rRNA from 1 species
AGCAGCCGCGGUAAUUCCAGCUCCAAUAGCGUAUAUUAAAGUUGUUGCAGUUAAAAAGCUCGUAGUUGAAUUUCGGGGUUAGUAGGUUGGUCAUGCCUCUGGUAUGUACUGGUCUCACUGAUUCCUCCUUCCUGAUGAACCUUAAUGCCAUUAAUUUGGUGUUUUGGGGAAUUUGGACUGUUACUUUGAAAAAAUUAGAGUAGUUUAAAGCAAGCUAACGCUUGAAUACAUUAGCAUGGAAUAAUGAAAUAGGACGUUCGAUCCUAUUUUGUUGGUUUCUUAGGAUUGACGUAAUGAUUAAUAGGGAUAGUUGGGGGCAUUAGUAUUCAAUUGUCAGAGGUGAAAUUCUUGGAUUUAUUGAAGACUAACUACUGCGAAAGCAUUUGCCAAGGAUGUUUUCAUUAAUCAAGAACGAAAGUUAGGGGAUCGAAGACGAUCAGAUACCGUCGUAGUCUUAACCAUAAACCUAUGCCGACUAGGGAUCGGAUGAUGUUAAUUUUUUAAUGACUUCAUUUCGGCG